GAAUGCUGACAUAAGUAACGAUAAAGCGGGUGAAAAGCCCGCUCGCCGGAAGACCAAGGGUUCCUGUCCAACGUUAAUCGGGGCAGGGUGAGUCGACCCCUAAGGCGAGGCCGAAAGGCGUAGUCGAUGGGAAACGGGUUAAUAUUCCCGUACUUGGUGUUACUGCGAAGGGGGGACGGAGAAGGCUAUGUUGGCCGGGCGACGGUUGUCCCGGUUUAAGCGUGUAGGUGUGUGUUCCAGGUAAAUCCGGUUCACUUUAACACUGAGGCGUGACGACGAGGCACUACGGUGCUGAAGCAACAAAUGCCCUGCUUCCAGGAAAAGCCUCUAAGCAUCAGGUAACAUCAAAUCGUACCCCAAACCGACACAGGUGGUCAGGUAGAGAAUACCAAGGCGCUUGAGAGAACUCGGGUGAAGGAACUAGGCAAAAUGGUGCCGUAACUUCGGGAGAAGGCACGCUGACACGUAGGUGAAGUGAUUUACUCAUGGAGCUGAAGUCAGUCGAAGAUACCAGCUGGCUGCAACUGUUUAUUAAAAACACAGCACUGUGCAAACACGAAAGUGGACGUAUACGGUGUGACGCCUGCCCGGUGCCGGAAGGUUAAUUGAUGGGGUCAGCGCAAGCGAAGCUCCUGAUCGAAGCCCCGGUAAACGGCGGCCGUAACUAUAACGGUCCUAAGGUAGCGAAAUUCCUUGUCGGGUAAGUUCCGACCUGCACGAAUGGCGUAAUGAUGGCCAGGCUGUCUCCACCCGAGACUCAGUGAAAUUGAACUCGCUGUGAAGAUGCAGUGUACCCGCGGCAAGACGGAAAGACCCCGUGAACCUUUACUAUAGCUUGACACUGAACAUUGAGCCUUGAUGUGUAGGAUAGGUGGGAGGCUUUGAAGUGUGGACGCCAGUCUGCAUGGAGCCGACCUUGAAAUACCACCCUUUAAUGUUUGAUGUUCUAACGUGGACCCGUUACCCGGGUUGCGGACAGUGUCUGGUGGGUAGUUUGACUGGGGCGGUCUCCUCCUAAAGAGUAACGGAGGAGCACGAAGGUUGGCUAAUCCUGGUCGGACAUCAGGAGGUUAGUGCAAUGGCAUAAGCCAGCUUGACUGCGAGCGUGACGGCGCGAGCAGGUGCGAAAGCAGGUCAUAGUGAUCCGGUGGUUCUGAAUGGAAGGGCCAUCGCUCAACGGAUAAAAGGUACUCCGGGGAUAACAGGCUGAUACCGCCCAAGAGUUCAUAUCGACGGCGGUGUUUGGCACCUCGAUGUCGGCUCAUCACAUCCUGGGGCUGAAGUAGGUCCCAAGGGUAUGGCUGUUCGCCAUUUAAAGUGGUACGCGAGCUGGGUUUAGAACGUCGUGAGACAGUUCGGUCCCUAUCUGCCGUGGGCGCUGGAGAACUGAGGGGGGCUGCUCCUAGUACGAGAGGACCGGAGUGGACGCAUCACUGGUGUUCGGGUUGUCAUGCCAAUGGCACUGCCCGGUAGCUAAAUGCGGAAGAGAUAAGUGCUGAAAGCAUCUAAGCACGAAACUUGCCCCGAGAUGAGUUCUCCCUGAGACUUAGAGUCUCCUGAAGG
rnacentral:rRNA from 2 species